CGCCAGAUGACCUGGACCAGGUUACCACAAGGGUUUAAGAAUUCACCCACUCUAUUUGGAUCUGCAUUAAGUCAAGAUUUACAAGAUUUCAAAUCCAUCCCAGGGAAAUGUGUACUGCUCCAGUAUGUGGAUGAUCUUUUAAUAGCCGCAAUCACCAAAAAGAUGUGUCAACAAGCAACUUAUGAACUUCUCCACAUCCUAUGGAAGGCAGGAUACAAGGUAUAUAGGAAGAAGGCAC